UACGGAGGGUGCGAGCGUUGUUCGGAAUUAUUGGGCGUAAAGCGCACGUAGGCGGCUUUGUAAGUCUCAUUGUGAAAGCCCGGGGCUCAACCCCGGGACUGCAGGGGAUACUGCGAGGCUUGAGUCAAGUAGAGGUUGGUAGAAUUCCGGGUGUAGCGGUGGAAUGCGUAGAGAUCCGGAGGAAUACCAGAGGCGAAGGCGGCCAACUGGACUUGUACUGACGCUGAGGUGCGAAAGGCGUGGGGAGCGAACAGG
rnacentral:rRNA from 1 species